rnacentral:rRNA from 1 species
AUUGAACGCUGGCGGCAUGCCUUACACAUGCAAGUCGAACGGCAGCACGGGAGCAAUCCUGGUGGCGAGUGGCGAACGGGUGGGUAAUAUAUCGGAACGUGCCCAGUCGUGGGGGAUAACGCAGCGAAAGCUGUGCUAAUACCGCAUACGAUCUAAGGAUGAAAGCGGGGGAUCGCAAGACCUCGCGCGAUUGGAGCGGCCGAUAUCAGAUUAGCUAGUUGGUGGGGUAAAGGCCCACCAAGGCGACGAUCUGUAGCUGGUCUGAGAGGACGACCAGCCACACUGGAACUGAGACACGGUCCAGACUCCUACGGGAGGCAGCAGUGGGGAAUUUUGGACAAUGGGCGCAAGCCUGAUCCAGCAAUGCCGCGUGCAGGAUGAAGGCCUUCGGGUUGUAAACUGCUUUUGUACGGAACGAAACGGCCCUUUCUAAUACAGGGGGCUAACGACGGUACCGUAAGAAUAAGCACCGGCUAACUACGUGCCAGCAGCCGCCGUAA